AGUGAACGCUGGCGGUAGGCCUAACACAUGCAAGUCGAACGGCAGCACAGUAAGAGCUUGCUCUUACGGGUGGCGAGUGGCGGACGGGUGAGGAAUACAUCGGAAUCUACUUUUUCGUGGGGGAUAACGUAGGGAAACUUACGCUAAUACCGCAUACGACCUACGGGUGAAAGCAGGGGAUCUUCGGACCUUGCGCGAUUGAAUGAGCCGAUGUCGGAUUAGCUAGUUGGCGGGGUAAAGGCCCACCAAGGCGACGAUCCGUAGCUGGUCUGAGAGGAUGAUCAGCCAAACUGGAACUGAGACACGGUCCAGACUACUACGGGAGGCAGCAGUGGGGAAUAUUGGACAAUGGGCGCAAGCCUGAUCCAGCCAUACCGCGUGGGUGAAGAAGGCCUUCGGGUUGUAAAGCCCUUUUGUUGGGAAAGAAAAGCAGCAGGUUAAUACCCCGCUGUUCUGACGGUACCCAAAGAAUAAGCACCGGCUAACUUCGU
rnacentral:rRNA from 1 species